GGUGUAGGUAGGGUUUAGGUAGUGUGUAGGUAGGGUUUAGGUAGGGUGUAGGUAGGGUUUAGGUAGGUUGUAGGUAGGGUGUAGGUAGGGUUUAGGUAGGGUUUAGGUAGUGUGUAGGUAGGGUUUAGGUAGGGUGUAGGUAGGGUUUAGGUAGGGUGUAGGUAGGGUUUAGGUAGGGUGUAGGUAGGGUGUAGGUAGGGUGUAGGUAGGGUGUAGGUAGGGUUUAGGUAGGGUGUAGGUAGGGUGUAGGUAGGGUUUAGGUAGGGUGUAGGUAGGGUGUAGGUAGGGUGUAGGUAGGGUUUAGGUAGGGUUUAGGUAGGGUGUAGGUAGGGUGUAGGUAGGGUGUAGGUAGGGUUUAGGUAGGGUGUAGGUCGGGUGUAGGUAGGGUUUAGGUAGGGUGUAGGUAGGGUGUAGGUAGGGUUUAGGUAGGGUGUAGGUAGGGUUUAGGUAGGGUGUAGGUAGGGUUUAGGUAGGGUGUAGGUAGGGUGUAGGUAGGGUUUAGGUAGGGUUUAGGUAGGGUGUAGGUAGGGUUUAGGUAGGGUGUAGGUAGGGUUUAGGUAGGGUGUAGGUAGGGUUUAGGUAGGGUGUAGGUAGGGUGUAGGUAGGGUUUAGGUAGGGUGUAGGUAGGGUGUAGGUAGGGUGUAGGUAGGGUUUAGGUAGGGUUUAGGUAGGGUGUAGGUAGGGUUUAGGUAGGGUGUAGGUAGGGUUUAGGUAGGGUGUAGGUAGGGUUUAGGUAGGGUUUAGGUAGGGUGUAGGUAGGGUGUAGGUAGGGUUUAGG